AGAUAAGAAACAUUUAUAUAGAUGCUGCUGUUACACGCAGGUAUGGAAGUAAGAGGAAGAAUGGUCAGAAGUCCUCCCAUUGCUGUGGUCCUUCUGGUGAUGCCCUCAGCCAUAGCAUGCAGGAUCCGUACGAAAGGUGUUAUUCCAGUUUUCUUCCUGGUUCCAGUGAUCAUUGUUGUUAGUGUUUCAGAUCACCAGAUGGAAAAAAUAGGUGCAACAUGAGAGCUUAAAGAAGAGAGAUGCUGGGAAGCCAUCAUACCUUUCCUGGCUGUUCCAUGUCACAUUGCUCUGUUU
rnacentral:lncRNA from 1 species